UUACAGGCCUGGCCACCACGCCCGACUCUGCAAUGGCUUUUAUUACUUUUGUGACAGCCAAACAUCCCAGCACUCUGAUAGCAAAAGUAGUGGGUGGAAGCGGGAGGAAUGCUGUACUCAUGUCCACAGCGCCAGCUGUUGGUUCUGGGCCGCCCCAUGCAGAGUGGGUAUGGAGGUGGCCCCUCAGUGACACACACGGGGCUUUCCUGUGGGCAGGCACUGUGCUGAUGGAAUGGUGCCGGGCUGAGAAUCCGAGGAGCAGCCCCAUUUUACAGAUGAAGAAACUGAGGCUCACAAGGGUGGAGACCCUGGCCCAGGUCAUACAGCUGUGUGUGUGUGUGGAAUCUGGGUCCAGCUCGAUCUGCCUCCGUGGUCCCGAAUAUUGGGGCUCAGACCUGCCAGCUUCUUGCUUUCUUGCUCUGGGAAACCCAUAAAACCGGAGGCUAUGUGGGGUGGGGGAGAGAAAGGAAGAGGAGUCAUCUCGUGGCUGUUUGGGAUCCUCUUCUGGGUCUCCAGCACUCCAGGGAGUGCUGUGAGGGGCGUGCCACUGGAGGGAGUUGUUUGAAGAGAUAAUGGGAGAAUAAUUUGCUGAGGCUGCUGCUGUGCCCGUCCCUGCUGCGCCUGGCUGAUUGCACCUGGGGUUAUGCUUCAUGAUUUAUCCGUCUAGCGAUCUCUGUCCCACCUUUUGCAUUGCAGAGAGCAGCUGCCGCAGUAUCGUCUGCAUGGCAGGAGAUGCAGGGUGGCCUCUCAGCAGGAGCUGAGAGUAGCGAAUUCAGGGAAGUCCUAGAGGACUGGGGCUUUGGGAAACUGAGGCCCAGAAGUCCAGGGGCUUGGUCAGGCCCUCAGAGAACUAGAGGCCAAACUGGAGUUGGAGCCAUGUGUCCUGGGAGCAUUUAGUCAUUCGUUACUUUUGUUCACUGAUUCAUCAGUAUGUCUUUACUGAGCACCUAGUCUGUGCCAGGCCAGUGCCAAUUGCUGGGGGGCAUCAGGGACUGAGGGAGGUGAGGUGCUUGGAGUCUCCUGGUGGACAAGGGCAUUCAUCCAGCCUGGUGCUAUGGGGGGAAGAGAAGGUGGGAGUCUUGGGGAGGACCCCCAGCGCGGGAGUGGGAAGUGUUUUGAAAGUGGCAGUCAGGUUUCAGGAUUUUUAUGAAAUGACAGAUUUCUUUUCUCCCUUUCCCUUUUAAAGGAGCGUGAGAAUGCCGUUGUUGAAUCUAGGAUUUUCUUUUCUCAUGUCUACCCUGUCUUGAUGAGCUGCCUCCGGUGGCUGGGGACCGCAGGCUCGGCUCUUCACAGCCUGGGCCUGCCUCUGAGGCCUGGCAUCAUGGCCUUUCUCUAAUCCCCAAAGGGGUUUCUGGCCUCCAAAGAGUUAAGACCCUGUUCAUGAACAAGGUUGUGUGGGGUGUGGCUUCUGUAUAAACAUCUCGGGCUGAAUUACUGGGUGGGAGGGGCAGUGAGGGAUCUUGGUGCCCAUGUACGAGGAGAUUGGGUAUUAGGAAGGGCUUCCUGUGUUACUGGAUGGCAAGU